rnacentral:lncRNA from 1 species
UCCAACCUGAGGUGACACUGAUGAACAAAGGAAUAGAGAUGGUAAAGCAGAGUUAAUCUACUAACAGAUUAUCCCAAAUGUGUGCAAAUUAGUGUAUGGUUUAGGCUAAGCAUUUAAAAAUGCUUCUGUGACCCAAAUCAUGCCAAAUGCCAAAUGUUUACUCUCCUUUAAUCUCUUAAAGUUGCCAAUUUUUAUUUGUACUUUGAAUUCUGUUUUAUGGUGCAAGCAUAGUCUCUUUUUUGUACAAAUAUUUAUGAUCAAUUUUAUCCUUCAUGAUUUUGUUUCUCAAUAUUUUUAUUCCUCUAUUAGUUAUCUAAAGUUUUUCAAAGGCACUCUUUAACUUCUAUGCCUCUAAUUGCCAAAGUCAAAAAGGAAAUUUUAUUAUUUGAGUGUUGCUUUUUGAAACUGGGAGGCUGAGACAGGUGGAUCAUGAGGUCAAAAGCUCGAGACCAUCCUGGCUAACAUGGUGAAACCCCAUCUUUACCAAAAAUACAAAAAAUUAGCUGGGCGUGGUGGUGGGCGCCUGUAGUCCUAGCUACUCAGGAGGCUGAGGCAGGAGAGUAGCAUAAACCCAGGAGGUAGAGCUUGCAGUGAGCCGAGAUCGUGCCACUGCACUCUAGCCUGGGUGACAGAGCGAGACUCCGUCUCAAAAAAAAAAAAAAAAAAUUCAAAAUUGUUUACAAUCUACAUUUAGUUAUAGGUCCCUUAUUGAAUGAUUCCAAUCUGCAUGAAAUAUAUCUUUCUUCACAUCAGGAAAAAUGAAUCCAUUAUCUCCUUAAUAGAACAGAAAUAUUAGUGCAUAGGAAUGCUCUUCCCACUGUCACGUCUCCAUUUCUGUAUGUAUCUUACUCUUUCACAGCUGCCCCAUUUGCUUGUCAUUUUCCUCCACAUUUUCAAGCUCGUGGUCCAUAUCACUAAUUUGGCUUUAAGCUGUAUUAUUUAGGCAUCAUGCUGCCUCUGAAGUGGGGUUUAAAUCUGCAGUUGUGUGUUUAGUUUCCUAAUAAUUCUUCCUUAUCUCACUUCAAAGUUUAUCUUUUUAUCUUGUAAUCACAGUCUAUUUCUUCGAUGUGGUUCUCAUUGCAUAGAACCAGGCACUUUUCCUGGAAGAGUCCACAGUCCUUGCUCCUCCAUGGAACUUUAAGACAUUUGUACUAACUGCUCAGCAAGGCCACCAGCUGCUGUAACAAUUCCUGACGCCCUAGACACAGACUCUACCUGAAAACAGGAGCCUGAUUUAAAUGGAACUUGGAAGUCUUUAGCACUACUUAUUUCCUAGUUUGCUUUGAAUGUACCAAGACCUAAUCAAUAGAUCAUUCAUUAACAAAUGUUUAUUGAACACCUGCUAUGUGCUUGGUAUUGAAGAUAGUGAGCAAAAAAGCCUGAUCUCUCCCUCAAGAAGCUUUCAUCUUUAUUCAUUAUUCAAUACUCACAAAAAUAAAUACACCUCCCAAGACCUACUCUCUCACAUCCUCUCUGCCAAUUCAUUUCAUCAGCUAUUGCUGCAGCAACCAACUGCACACAGGUGGGAUGACAGCACCUUGCCUCAGCUAUUAAUAUAUCAAGCACCACUUGUCUUCUGCUCCAGCGUUUCUCUGGAGCAGUUACAGUGAAAGAACAGGAAUCCAUUCACCCAUUCUGAUGCAUAUGUCAACCUGAAGAAUGUGGAAGUUAGUACCCUACUUCACCGAUAGGGUACAGGAGCCAAUGUAAAUGCUCCUUUCUUUUGUCCCACAGGUGGACAUUUUUGAGGUUCAUUCUACAUGGCUCUUUGGAGAGUCCUUAGCAGGACAAGCCUACUGCAGUGACCAACUCAUUAACACACUUUCGAUUGACUUUCCCUCCUGUCAUGUCUCAGUCUUUCCAGUCUCCACCUCCUGUUCCCUGGGAUCACUCCCCCAAACUAUCUAAGCUCUGCUUCUGGGGAACCACAGUCUAAAAUUUAGUUACAAAUAGCAAGUGUUUUUAAGGAAAAUUAUGAGGUGUUAAGAUAGCUUCUGCAAUGGACUUGAUCUUGUCUGGGGUAUCAGUGAAGGAUUCU